rnacentral:piRNA from 1 species
UCCUGGUGGUUUGCCGUACCAUGUGAUA